UAGAAGAAGAGUCAAAAGUGUCGUCUGCUUUACAAGUUUCGAAAAACUGGAGAACAAACUUGUUUUAAAUAAGAUUACAAAUAAAACGAAACGAUCACUUUUUUGGAAACGUACACGUAGAUGCACGAAAAAUAGCAGAACAAAUUAAAUCACAAAAAUGUGGUCGUCGUGUGAACUCUGUCGCAGUUGUCUCGGUGUGAACUCGUGUGAAUUUGUCACGCUCUCCAUUCCAUGCUGUUUUUGGCGGAUUUCAGGCCUGAGCCAGCCAUCCGAACAAAAAAGUUAUGUAAGUUUUGCUUGGGCUGGUCCACCAGCAACAAUUUCAGCAACAUCACUGUGAUAAACAUCCCAUUUGAUUGGAGAAAUUUCUUUUUCUUUAAAUCCCUUCUACCCUUGUGUACACCCUAGUGUGUAUGGGUAUUAUUCACGAGGAGGUCCUUUUUUCUAUCCCACCUGGCCUGAUGUCUUCAACUUUUACUGCGGAUGGAGCACUUGGUGAUGCCUGGCCGAAUUUCCUAGGCUUAAAGGUAGG